AGGGGAUGAGGUAUUAUUAAUGUUUAUUAAAGUCUCCGAAUCCAUUUCUUUGGGAGGAUCUAAUUUCAUUGAAAGAACCAGGCAGCUAAAUUAAUGCAGUAGAAAUGAAGAAUCAGUUUACAUCAGCCUACACUUCUGAGCAGUGCAGGAGGACUAUGACAUCCACACACUUCAAAGGUGGAAAACAGAGGGACAAGUGUUCAUUUACUUGUCAGGAGAUGUCUGAAGCCUACUUCAGAAUGCAAGGAAGCAGAUGCCAAGGGGAUAGAAGUAGAAGCUGAUUGGGAAGACUGCUUGUGAAAGAUAAAGGGGAGAAGAGCACGGCAAGAGGUCCUUAUCCUUCAUGGCAAGAGAGAUGGAGCUCUUGGAAUAUUCUUCUUCCUUGAUCAAAAUACCCUCCAUCUAAGAAAGAUUCACUUCUCUUGCAGAAAUACCACAUCUGUCUGUUCUGGCUCUGGCUACUAGAGAGUGUAACAGCAUUGGCAAUGAUAUGACUUCACAGGUUAGUGAUUUCUGUUUUUUUUGUGGAUCAGCUUUGAUAUUAGUAGAAAAAAGUAUAUAUAAUCAUACAGUAAAUCUUCUGGUGGGACUCAUACUGCUAUAUCCAUAUGAAAAAAUGUUGGAGGUUUUCAAAUAAAAAUGAAAUAUGUAUUACUGAAAGACACUGUGUGUGUUAGUCAAGAAUUUUUAAGUUAACUUCUAAUGUCUUCAAAUCUUAACUUACAAUAAAAAAUAGAUAAUAAUUUUGAAGAUGAUAUCCCAAUGGAAGUGAAUUUAUUCUCAGCAUUACGCAUCAAAUUAGUAUUAUUUAUUUGGAGGAUGUUUGAAUUUUAGCAGUCAGAAUCAAUGUAAAUUGAAUAGAGCAAACACAAAUUAUACUGUUAAAAGCUAGGUGUAAAGGAUAGCAUGUGAAUUUUUAAAAAAUGAUCUACGCAUUUCAUACCAUCAGCAUGUCCUUCUUAGUCCUAUCUUAUAUUGCAAUCAAUUAGAUGUUUUGUGAAAAGCAAAUAUAUCACAUGCAAAUACAUGUAAAUACUAUAUAAGGCCAUCCAGAUUUGACAAAUGAUAUUAAAAUGGCAUUUUGUUAAUUCUGUAAAGAUUAUAUUGCUGAGUGCUUUCAAAAUCACCUAAUGUACAAAAUUCUAGACUUAGUAGACAGAGUAACAACACACUGAAAUUAUAAAGAAACAAAAUGAAAACUCAGGGAGAGAUUCUGUAUUGUUUUGUUUUGUUAAAAACCAUGUAUUGAAUUUAAUUUUUAGUAAAGCAAGCAUUACAUAAUGCUUCAAAAUUCUAAAAGUAGGGGAUAAAAGUUUACAUCCAAAAAGAUGAAUGGAAAAUUGUGCUUUCAGACUGUAGAAUAAGUUUUCUUACAGGGUUAACCAUUUCAUCUCGCCAUUGGAUACUGGGAAUUUCAUUUAUGUAAUGUAUAUAUGUGCAGUUCAUAUCCAAGUCCUGCAAAAAUCUAAAACUGUGUGCUUCACUUCAUGUAGCAAAGGCACCUAUGUUAUUCUCCCUUUUGAGCAAAAGUCAUGAUCCAGUUUUCCUGUUGACGAUGCUUUUUCCACUGCUGUGUCACUCACACUCUCUGUGUUGAGCAGUAUAGUAAAUCACAAGAGAAAGUGGUGGCGAAUUCCUGCUCACACUGGAAGUUGCUCUGUGGACCAUUCAAAGAAGCUCUGGACUGAUCACAAGGGAAACCGAGCAGAACUGUGAAGCAGACGGACAGGAACAAAAGGCUAUUCUGGUGUAAGGAGAAAUCAGUCACUUCAGCUCCACAAGCAGAUGUUGCUGCUGGACUGACAAGUGGAACCUACUCCUGCUGGAGAAAGCUACCAUGUAAGAUGUACCUUUUGCUUUCUGCUUGCCUGCCACCAUGGAAGAUGUACCUUUUGCCUUCUGCCAUGAUUGUGAGGCCUCCCCAGCUAUGUGGAACUAAGUCACUGGUCCCAGAAGAAGAGGUAGCACAAGCAAAGGAAACCCAAGGAGAAGCACCAGAAAGAAGGAAAAUAACCAAGAAAGGCAGGAACACAUCACAUUGAGAAAAAGAAAGGCAGGAAAUUAUAUUUUUAAGUUACUUUAUCUGAUAUUUGCCAAAAGAGAACUUUCGCUGGUCUGUAGUUUUUCAAUAAAAUUAACUAUGAUGAUGAA